rnacentral:tRNA from 3 species
GCUCGAAUCGUAUAAUGGAAGUAUGACGGAUUGCAAAUCCGCAGGUCAGGGUUCGAUUCCCUGUUCGAGCU